AUGAUUGCAAUUCAUAUGCCAACCUGGCUCGAGAAGAUGAUCGACAAGGUCAGGAGAGGGUUUCUUUGGGAAAGCAAGGAAGAGGCCACUAGUGGCAAAUGCUUGGUAAACUGGAAAAGGGUCUGUCGCCCAACUGAAUUUGGUGGCCUAGGGAUCAUAAAUCUUGCGGCGCAGAGUAUUGCGCUCCGUGCCAGAUGGCUUUGGCAAACGUGGACUGAUGGGAGUAAACCGUGGCUUGGUCUGGACAUGCCUAUCGACCCGAAGGUCAGGGCACUAUUCAAUGCAUCGGUCGUCUUCCACCUUGGCACUGGAGAGCGAAUUUCCUUCUGGAAGGAACCAUGGCACAACGGCGUCAGCCUCCAGAACACCUACCCGGCGUUGUUC
rnacentral:rRNA from 1 species